rnacentral:rRNA from 1 species
GACGAACGCUGGCGGCGUGCCUAACACAUGCAAGUCGAACGGAAAGGCCCUGCUUUUGUGGGGUUCUCGAGUGGCGCACGGGUGUGUAACACGUGAGUAACCUGCCCUUGACUUUGGGAUAUCUUCAGGAAACUGGGGCUAAUACCGGAUAGGAGCUCCUGCUGCAUGGUGGGGGUUGGAAAGUUUCGGCUGUUGUGGAUGGACUCGCGGCUUAUCGGCUUGUUGGUGGGGUAGUUGCUUACCAAGGCUUCGACGGAUAGCCGGCCUGAGAGGGUAACCGGGGACAAGAGGACUAAGGGAGGGAGCAGUCGCGAAUGGGAGGCAGUGGGGGGAAGUAUGACACAGUGAGGGGGAGCGUGAGAAAAAGGCGUGGGGAGCGGAAAGAAGGCCUACGGGGGAUGAACCGAUGUAGACUGAGACGUGGCGGGAGUGACGGUAAUGGGUAAAGAAGCACCGGCUAACUACGUG